CAAAAAAAUGGCCAAAAGAAUUGCCGAGAAGGAAUUGACAGAUAGGAAUUGGGAUCAAGAAGAGGAGGCUGAAGAGGUGGGAACAUUUUCGGUGGCCAGUGAGGAAGUCUUGAAGAAUAGAGCCAUAAAGAAAGCAAAGCGUAGAAAUGUUGGAUUUGAAGUGAGUGCUUUCUUUUACAGCUUUCGGUAUUUUUCAGAUACUGAUUUGAUUUCUGAGUUGCAGAGCAUUUCCACCUCUGGGACCAAUCAUAUCAACAAAUGCUUACUCCUUGGUGUAGAUCAUGGGAAGUAGAAAAAAAUAAAUAAAUAUGAGGUCUGUAUCAGGGGUAGCUUAUCCAAUGGAGGAAAUAAGAUAAAUAAAAGCAAAUUCAAGUUAAGUGACAAUAUGAAGAGGAAAAACAAGUAUAGCAAUACAAAAGGCAGAAGAAGUGUUGUCUGAUAGUAAGAGAGAGAGAUGUAUAUUUUCAGAGUCUUAUCUACUUCCUGGGAUCAAGGUGUGAGUAGGGAGAGUCCUUUCACUAUACUAGAAGCAUUUCAUAUGUCAUUUUUUUCCUAGUAUGUUGGUACUUGUAUAGUAUAUUCAAAUGUUUCAUUACUGUGCUCAGAAAAAUAAAAGAUGAGUUUUAAGUCCUGAA